rnacentral:misc_RNA from 1 species
AAAGAAAUGGGUCCUAGACCCCACACACGCCACUCGGUAAAGAAUCGGGCCUAUAGCUCAGCUGGCUAGAGCACACGACUGAUAAUCGUGAGGUCAGUGGUUCGAGUCCACUUGGGCCCACCAAAUGGGGCUGUAGCUCAGCUGGGAGAGCACCUGCUUUGCAAGCAGGGGGUCACCGGUUCGAUCCCGGUCAGCUCCACCAAAGGGAAGAGGCCCGCGCGCAGCGGGUCGGACGCUGGGGUGGAGAAGUAGGCGGCAGGAAGCGGGUAACAGGUAACAGGAAGUAGAGAAUAGGAAAGUAAUUAAAGAGUCCGUAGUAGUGAGUUUCUGAAUAAAGAAGCUGAGUACUACCGAUUCGCAGUAUGGAAGCGGUAUUGUUCUUUGACAGUUGAGGAAGGGAAGGCCAUGUUUGUCAUCUUGCCGAUGGCAGACCUCCAGGUGGAUGCUUGGGGAUAUAU